rnacentral:rRNA from 1 species
UUAAGCGACUAAGCGUACACGGUGGAUGCCCUGGCAGUCAGAGGCGAUGAAGGACGUGCUAAUCUGCGAAAAGCGUCGGUAAGGUGAUAUGAACCGUUAUAACCGGCGAUGUCCGAAUGGGGAAACCCAGUGCAAUUCGUUGCACUAUCGUUAACUGAAUACAUAGGUUAACGAGGCGAACCGGGGGAACUGAAACAUCUAAGUACCCCGAGGAAAAGAAAUCAACCGAGAUUCCCCCAGUAGCGGCGAGCGAACGGGGAGCAGCCCAGAGUCUGAAUCAGCUUGUGUGUUAGUGGAACGGUCUGGAAAGUCCGACGGUACAGGGUGAUAGUCCCGUACACCAAAAUGCACAGGCUGUGAACUCGAAGAGUAGGGCGGGACACGUGGUAUCCUGUCUGAAUAUGGGGGGACCAUCCUCCAAGGCUAAAUACUCCUGACUGACCGAUAGUGAACCAGUACCGUGAGGGAAAGGCGAAAAGAACCCCGGCGAGGGGAGUGAAAAAGAACCUGAAACCGUGUACGUACAAGCAGUGGGAGCACCUUCGGGUGUGACUGCGUACCUUUUGUAUAAUGGGUCAGCGACUUAUAUUCUGUAGCAAGGUUAACCGUAUAGGGGAGCCGCAGGGAAACCGAGUCUUAACUGGGCGUUAAGUUGCAGGGUAUAGACCCGAAACCCGGUGAUCUAGCCAUGGGCAGGUUGAAGGUUGGGUAACACUAACUGGAGGACCGAACCGACUAAUGUUGAAAAAUUAGCGGAUGACUUGUGGCUGGGGGUGAAAGGCCAAUCAAACCGGGAGAUAGCUGGUUCUCCCCGAAAGCUAUUUAGGUAGCGCCUCGUGAACUCAUCUUCGGGGGUAGAGCACUGUUUCGGCUAGGGGGUCAUCCCGACUUACCAACCCGAUGCAAACUACGAAUACCGAAGAAUGUUAUCACGGGAGACACACGGCGGGUGCUAACGUCCGUCGUGAAGAGGGAAACAACCCAGACCGCCAGCUAAGGUCCCAAAGUCAUGGUUAAGUGGGAAACGAUGUGGGAAGGCACAGACAGCCAGGAUGUUGGCUUAGAAGCAGCCAUCAUUUAAAGAAAGCGUAAUAGCUCACUGGUCGAGUCGGCCUGCGCGGAAGAUGUAACGGGGCUAAACCAUGCACCGAAGCUGCGGCAGCGACACUAUGUGUUGUUGGGUAGGGGAGCGUUCUGUAAGCCUGCGAAGGUGACCUGUGAGGGUUGCUGGAGGUAUCAGAAGUGCGAAUGCUGACAUAAGUAACGAUAAAGCGGGUGAAAAGCCCGCUCGCCGGAAGACCAAGGGUUCCUGUCCAACGUUAAUCGGGGCAGGGUGAGUCGACCCCUAAGGCGAGGCCGAAAGGCGUAGUCGAUGGGAAACAGGUUAAUAUUCCUGUACUUGGUGUUACUGCGAAGGGGGGACGGAGAAGGCUAUGUUAGCCGGGCGACGGUUGUCCCGGUUUAAGCAUGUAGGCUGAUUGUCCAGGCAAAUCCGGAUAAUCAAGGCUGAGGUGUGAUGACGAGGCACUACGGUGCUGAAGUAACAAAUGCCCUGCUUCCAGGAAAAGCCUCUAAGCAUCAGGUAACAUCAAAUCGUACCCCAAACCGACACAGGUGGUCAGGUAGAGAAUACCAAGGCGCUUGAGAGAACUCGGGUGAAGGAACUAGGCAAAAUGGUGCCGUAACUUCGGGAGAAGGCACGCUGGUGUGUAGGUGAAGUCCCUGCGGAUGGAGCUGAGACCAGUCGAAGAUACCAGCUGGCUGCAACUGUUUAUUAAAAACACAGCACUGUGCAAACACGAAAGUGGACGUAUACGGUGUGACGCCUGCCCGGUGCCGGAAGGUUAAUUGAUGGGGUUAUCCGUAAGGAGAAGCUCUUGAUCGAAGCCCCGGUAAACGGCGGCCGUAACUAUAACGGUCCUAAGGUAGCGAAAUUCCUUGUCGGGUAAGUUCCGACCUGCA